rnacentral:lncRNA from 1 species
AUGAAUAAAGGUGUGUUAGAACCUUUAUUCUUUAGUAUUUUAAAGUUCUUUUUUUUUUUUAUCCUGUUUUGUUUUACAGAUUUGUAAGACUCCAGGGCCUUCAAGCUGUGAUUAGUCCGAUAGUUCCUGAAAUGACUGGGAAAACAGACGUUUUGUGUGCCAAUUGAAGAGUGUAUGUCUGUGUGUAUUUAAAACCUUUCCAUACUUACUCGAGAAGACGGGCUUAUUCUUGUGCGCACUUGAAGAGUUGUGUACAACUGAUGAAAAUUAAUCUAAGAAUCAGAUGGAGCAACUUGACACCACUGGGCUCAGGAGCCCGGGGAGAAAAACACAUCACUAAUGGCCAGUUUUCCAUAUGGUCUUCACGGGUAAAGAAAGUUUGCAAAAAGAAGAAAAAAAAACUUGCACAGAUCGAGCCUCAAAAAUACCUCUCCAGUUUAAAGAAGGAAUUAAGUGAGAAGGACAAUAGCUUAAGGUAGCAAUUGAAACUGAUGAUUACAAAAUAAUUAUCAAGGCGCAUUCAAGUAAAUCUUCCUCCUUUGGACUGUGCAUGUGACGUUUGGAGACAGUCCCCGAAGGUCGGCAGCAAAGCGCCCAUCAGCCCGCGCGUCGCUCUUCAUUUUAAUUUAUUAUUUUCCCUUUUCCUUUCCUGUAUCUAUAGGACAAUAGCUUAAGGUAGCAAUUGAAACUGAUGAUUACAAAAUAAUUAUCAAGGCGCAUUCAAGUAAAUCUUCCUCCUUUGGACUGUGCAUGUGACGUUUGGAGACAGUCCCCGAAGGUCGGCAGCAAAGCGCCCAUCAGCCCGCGCGUCGCUCUUCAGGGAGACAGUGGGGAAGAGCUCGCCUCCCCUCCUGCCUGUGUUCGAGUUUUAAGGGAUUCUCUUCCCUGUUGAUCCAGGAAGACGUGCACGUAAGAGGAGGACGACUUGAUGGACUAAUUCUGAGAUUAGUUUUUUUUCCUUCUCGGUGGAAAAGUAUGUAGUCUGUAGGAGCAGAAGGGGGAGAGGUGACUAGGAGAGGAGAAAGAGGACGCAGCCUGCCACCCGGCUCCGCGCCGUUUGUCUGCAGGAGGAGUUCGGGUUUGCCCGAGGCCAGCCCUGGGACUUCUUGGGCUCUUCUGAGAUCAGGGGCUUUCUCCCCCACCCCUAUGCAACCAAGGGGUGCACCAGCCUGCAGAGGGGCCC